rnacentral:tRNA from 1 species
GCCUGGAUGGCUCAGUUGGUUAAGCGUCUGACUUUGGCUCAGGUCACAAUCUUGUGCUUCUUGAGUUCGAGCCCCAUGCCAGGCU